rnacentral:rRNA from 1 species
UAGCUUGCUAGGAGGCGUCGAGCGGCGGACGGGUGAGUAAUGCAUAGGAAUCUGCCCGGUAGUGGGGGAUAACCUGGGGAAACCCAGGCUAAUACCGCAUACGCCCUACGGGGGAAAGCAGGGGAUCUUCGGACCUUGCGCUAUUGGAUGAGCCUAUGUCGGAUUAGCUUGUUGGUGAGGUAAAGGCUCACCAAGGCUGCGAUCCGUAGCUGGUCUGAGAGGAUGAUCAGCCACAUCGGGACUGAGACACGGCCCGAACUCCUACGGGAGGCAGCAGUGGGGAAUAUUGGACAAUGGGCGAAAGCCUGAUCCAGCCAUGCCGCGUGUGUGAAGAAGGCUUUCGGGUUGUAAAGCACUUUCAGUGAGGAAGAACGCCUUCGGAUUAAUACUCCGGAGGAAAGACAUCACUCACAGAAGAAGCACCGGCUAACUCCGUGCCAGCAGCCGCGGUAA